UGCAAGCUAGUUCUAGUUCCGAGAAUAUGAAUAUGGCCCAUUCGAAGUAGAAAUGAUUUCUAUAGAUGAGGGGAGGGGAGAGGAGUUUUCAACAUAAAUGUGGCAGAGGUUUUGAUUGUUUUGAAACAAAAAUCUUUGGAAAGCCUGCUGACUCCACUUCCUUGUUUCUAGCUAAGUCCUGAUGACUGAUGAUUCCAGGUGCCAAAAGAAUUUGAAAAGACUCCUCAUCAGCUCCACCCCCCUCCUCCCCCUCUAGAAAAAAAAAUUGGUUUGGCGAGUGUAUUAGGGCUUAUUGUAGAAAAGUGGCUGCAGAGUAUCUUGGUAUACAACCCUGCACUAAGGUGGUAGGUGAGUUUCAGCACUUUGUUAGGGGAGCCCCACCCCACCCACCCCACUCCAGCCACUGCCUUGGUUAGUGAGAGUUUAAAUAUUGAUUGGGAUACGAUGGAGGUCGUUGUUUUUUUCCAACAAAUAAAACAACGGGGUAGUAUUUUGAUUUGACUUUUCCCUUGCUGUCUGCAUAGCUUGCGAACAGGCUCCCGGCGAGGACGGAUAAAAUUUUCGGCGAGCGCGAAACAGAAGAAUUCGGAAAAAGCGAUCGCAGUUUACAGAGCUACCCUUUCCUCGUGCCAAGUCCCCGCCGGCUAAGAAAGACAGGUGGCCCUAGGACUCAACUUGAUAUUCUUCUUGAUAUCCUUCGUUAUUCUUACCCUCUUCGCACGAGGUGCUUGGAAACUUUGCGUAAUGCGUGGCUAAGUUUCAAGAUAUGUUCCCGAACGUGCUCCAGACACAAACCUUUGAUGUUGGAACCUUCUCGAGGGAAAUUCGCUCACCUAUUCAAGUGCCAGAAACAGCAAGCGACCUGAGGAUGCAAAGUGUCGUCUUUGGCCAUCCGCGGUUUUUGAAAUGUGGUCAAGCACAGUCUUUCUUGCUUGAUAGUAUUCCAUCACGUUCAAGAAUUCAACUAGAGGAGAAGUUUUACUUAGCUCUCAGCCACUAGAAACAAGUUCUGACUGGUCUUUCUGUUCAGCGUCGUUAUGAAACACCAAUACCUGUGAAAAGAAUUUACUUCAAGCAAAUCUUGCAAACACUUGCUUCAGG